GAGGUAAGUUGAUUCAUGAGCUGGUCUGCCUUGUACAUGCCUUCAAAUGAGGUCGUGGCUUUGCUUAUUCAGUUUGGUUCAAGACAGGCAGCCUGCUGUUUCUAUCGCUCUCUGCUCCUUCCGAAACGGGCCCGCCCUUCCCACUGGUCUCCUCGCCUGGACAGGGCCCCUGUUUACCUGCAGAAACAGCGCUUCCUAAAUGCAUGUUGGUCAAUUUCCACACACAUGGGGGAAGAGAAAGGGAGAUGAGGACAGGGAUCUCGGCCCUAUCUUUGUCUUUUGAUAGCUCCUGAGGGUUUUCUCAGGGCAACCAGGAAGGUGGGUGAAAUCAUUUGCCAAUGCACUGGCAGGUGGGGUACACUUGUCUGGCGGCCCCGUCUCCUUGUCCUGCCUCAUUUGGUGUUGACUGUGGGAGACACAGCCGGUGGCAAUCUUUGUGAAAGACACCGUUCACACGGGGCUAUUGCUGUCACCACGGUGUCACGGCUACAGGCAAGUCUUGGCCUGGGCCCACGUGUGGGUGCUGAAGGGGCACUGUGAGGCAACGAGGCAGGAGGGGGCCAUGAGGAAGUACUCACGGGCCUUCCGCUGUGCCUGGGGAUAUGCCGUUCCUGACCACCGCUGGAGUCGAAGCGUUUGAAGACUCACCUGGGAACAAACCACAUCUUCAUUUGUGCUGACCUCUACCUGUAGACAAAUGGAGUAUCCCCUUCCAGGGCAGGAUCGUAAGAUCCCUGAGGUUCCCAGAUGCUCAAGUCAAGUCACCAGCAGGACGGUGUGCCUUCCGGGUUGCUCCUGGGGAGAAGUCCAUUUCCUUGCCUUCUUUAGUGUCACCUGGAGGCUGCCCGCAGCCCUUGGCCUCGGCGCUUUGUCCUCUGCUUCCGUCCUUGCUCCUCCUCCAGCGUGGGGCUACGUGGCUGCAGCGGGUCGUGCUGGCCAGGGUUGGGGGAAGCUGGGUAGGAGCCCUGGAGUCCGCCCAGGCUGGGGAUCCCAGCUCGCCACCGGCAUGCCCCAUCUCCUUUUUACUGAGAUAUAAUCGACACAGCAUGAUGGAAGUGUAAGGUGUGCAGCCUUACACUGAUGGGAUGCAUUUAUGCCACGACAUGGUUGAUGCUGUAGCAUUGCUAACACCUCUACUGGACCCCAUAACUGUAAUUUCUCCCAGUGUCCCCAGCUCUGGGUGUGCCAGUUUGACACUGGAAAAGAGGGGACAAUAGCGAUGCUCACCCCGUGGGGAGGGGGUGGUUCUGUUUGGAUGAACCGAUAAAUUGGGGGUGCUUAAAAUAGCUGUGACGGGGGACGAAGGCAAAGGGGGGCUUGUUCUGGCCAUGGUCAGGGUGCCCAGCUGGCCCCAGCUGUUUGCAGGGGGUUUAAUGUUAUAAUCUCGAUAGUCCCAGACAGACGGGCUGAGGUGGUCACCCCACUAGGUGCCACCAUCACCAUGGUAAUCAGCACCGCCAGAGAGGAGAGGAGAGAGGUUGGUGCUGAGGGGCGGGAGCCCGGGGGGAUUUUGAUUCUCUUAACAAUUGACUCAAAAGGAUACCCUCCCUUUGGAACCCACCUUAAAAAACCGAGCGCUUCACAGAAGGGAACACAUGAAGUCCAGAGCCUCGGAACCCCAGCAUGAUGAAUGGACGGGGUUUGCGAGAGGGGCCUUGGGCGCCGUGCUCACGGGACCCCAGUUCACCAUGGACUUCCCGCUCGCGUGGAGACCAGCAGUGGGAUUCUGGGGCUUGGCUGUUUUUGCUGCAACCAAUGUUUGGUGACUAGAAUUUUUUCUUGACAGACCCGCAUGUUUUGGGAUCUCUUCCUAAGUGUUGUAAAAUCAGGAUUCUAUCCUCUGGGCUGAUAUUUCAGUGGAUUUGUUGCAGUUUAUACCCCCGCCCACAUGCUGGUAGCUGGUCUGAAAGCUGGAAAAGGCAGUAUUCUAAUGAUGCUUCCCGAGCACAUGACUACCGGGUUUAGGAAAGUUCAGAACUUUCUCGACGGCUAUAAGCUUUGCUUAUCACUCGUGAGUAAGGGAUUGGGAAAGUGUCAUGGUUGGUAACUAUUAGCACCUUUUUCACAUUUUUUAAUUGUGCGAUUUAAGAGUUGCAUUUAGAAUCAAUUUCAUGCACCUGUCUCUUUAAUAAAUGAGUAUCGCAUC